UACGUAGGGGGCGAGCGUUGUCCGAAGUUACUGGGCGUAAAGCGCGCGUAGGCGGGUUGGCAAGUCUGCUGUGAAAGCCCGGGGCUUAACUCCGGAGGGUCGGUGGAUACUGCCAGUCUUGAAGGUGCUAGGGAGAGAUGGAAUUACCGGUGUAGCGGUGAAAUGCGUAGAUAUCAGGAGGAACACCGGUGGCGAAGGCGGGUCUCUGGGCCGAUACUGACGCUGAGGAGCGAAAGCGUGGGGAGCGAACAGG
rnacentral:rRNA from 1 species